UAGCUCAGUUGGUUAGAGCAUGGUGCUAAUAAUACCAAGGUCAUGGGUUUGAUCCCUGU
rnacentral:tRNA from 1 species